AGGGCCUGGAGCGGUCUCUCUACUUUGGGAUUUUUUGUCUCUGCAGGUGGAGCCUGAAUCUCCGGAGAUUUUCUGGCGGGUUUCCAGCGGGAAGUCCUUUCUAGAAAUCAUAAACGCUCCACAGCUGGCGAGCGAAGUAAUCUGAUGUCGACCCUGAUACUUGAUUGUGGUUUGCACGAGAAGUGGAAACAGGAGAGCUCAGCAUCAGAAUGGAAG
rnacentral:lncRNA from 1 species